GAUAAACGCUGGCGGCGUGCAUAACACAUGCAAGUCGAACGAAGUGGCGAACGGGUGAGUAACACGUGAGUAACCUGCCUUACACAAGGGGAUAGCCUUUGGAAACGAAGAAUAAUACCCUAUAGUGUAAGGUGGACUUGCGUCUGAUUAGCAAGUUGGUGAGAUAAAAGCACACCAAGGCGACGAUCAGUAGCCGGCUUGAGAGAGUUGACGGCCACAUUGGGACUGAGACACGGCCCAAACUCUACGGGAGGCAGCAGUGGUGAAUUUUGCAUAAUGGGGGAAACGCUGAUGCAGUGACGUCGUGUGAUUGAGAAGGCCUGCGGGUUGUAAAAAUCUUUUUUAUGGGAUGCAGUACCAUAAGAAUAAGGUCCGGCUAAAUACGUGCCAGCAGCCGCGGUAAUAC
rnacentral:rRNA from 1 species